UACGGAGGGGGCAAGCGUUGUUCGGAAUUACUGGGCGUAAAGGGCGCGCAGGCGGCUGCUCAAGUCAGGCGUGAAAGGCCUGGGCUCAACCCGGGAAUUGCGCUUGAGACUGGGCUGGCUUGAGUGCGGGAGAGGAUGGUGGAAUUCCCAGUGUAGAGGUGAAAUUCGUAGAUAUUGGGAAGAACACCAGUGGCGAAGGCGGCUCACUGGCCCGGUACUGACGCUGAGGUGCGAAAGCUAGGGUAGCAAACGGG
rnacentral:rRNA from 1 species